rnacentral:rRNA from 1 species
UCGGGAAUAUUGCGCAAUGGGGGAAACCCUGACGCAGCAACGCCGCGUGGAGGAUGAAGGCCUUCGGGUCGUAAACUUCUGUCAGAUGGGAAGAAAAAGUGCGAACUAAUAUGUCGUACCCUUGACGGUACCAUCAGAGGAAGCCCCGGCUAACUCCGUGCCAGCAGCCGCGGUAAUACGGAGGGGGCAAGCGUUAUUCGGAUUUAUUGGGCGUAAAGGGCGUGUAGGCGGCUUGGUAAGUUAAAGGUGAAAUCCCACGGCUCAACCGUGGAACUGCCUUUGAUACUGCCUCGCUAGAGUACAGGAGAGGCUAGUGGAAUUCCUAGUGUAGCGGUGAAAUGCGUAGAUAUUAGGAGGAACACCAGUGGCGAAGGCGACUGGCUGGACUGUUACUGACGCUGAAGCGCGAAAGCAUGGGGAGCAAACAGGAUUAGAUACCCCCGUAGUCC